CUACCACCAUGAAACUCCCCCCCCAAAAAUUGCAGGUCUUUGUUUCAUGUACUUCCUGUGGUUAUUGUGAGAACAUUUUCUAAAGACUGCUAGCAGCCUUCUUUGUUUCAGCAUUCAGUAUUAAACAGUUUAUCAUUAUAAAUAGUAAAUUGACAUACAUCACUAAUGAUGCCAUUCUAGUUCUUCAUAUGGUCUAGUUCGCAUACAGUGUGAUUAUUUGUACAUCCUGGGGGAUCCACUGUACACCAUGGGACCUCCUGAUGUGGGUCCUCUACAUUCCCCAUCUUUACAGUUGCAGAAAAACAAAUACAGAAAUAACAGACUGGAAAUGAAAACAGGACUAGAGCGCACACACAGUGACAUCUAACUUUGAGCAAAUCAACAUGUACUUAUCUGUGUGUGCUUGUUGAUAGUGCCAUGCUGUGAUAGUUACAUCCUGCAAGAGAUUGUCAUUGUGUCU